rnacentral:rRNA from 1 species
CAGUAGCCGCGGGAAUACGAAGGGGGCUAGCGUUGCUCGGAAUGACUGGGCGUAAAGGGCGCGUAGGCGGUCACGAUAGUCAGAUGUGAAAUUCCUGGGCUUAACCUGGGGACUGCAUUUGAUACUGUGUGGCUUGAGUGUGGAAGAGGGUCGUGGAAUUCCCAGUGUAGAGGUGAAAUUCGUAGAUAUUGGGAAGAACACCGGUGGCGAAGGCGGCGACCUGGUCCAUAACUGACGCUGAGACGCGAAAGCCAGGGGAGCGAACGGGAUUAGAUACCCGCGUAGUCCCUGUCUCUUAUAC